rnacentral:rRNA from 1 species
UACGUAGGGUGCAAGCGUUAUCCGGAAUUAUUGGGCGUAAAGAGCUCGUAGGCGGUUUGUCGCGUCUGCUGUGAAAACUGGGGGCUCAACCCCCAGCCUGCAGUGGGUACGGGCAGACUAGAGUGCGGUAGGGGAGAUUGGAAUUCCUGGUGUAGCGGUGGAAUGCGUAGAGAUCCGGAAGAACACCGGUGGCGAAGGCGGCCCGCUGGGCAGGAAGGCUCGCAAGAGCCGGCUGACGCUGAGGCGCGACAGCGUGGGGAGCAAACAGG